ensembl:lncRNA novel transcript
GUUCAUCGCCAGGGCUCUAAGACAGCGAGCCAUGUUCCUUCUUCUGGUGCUUCUCACUGGACUUGGUGGGAUGCAUGCAGACCUCAAUCCUCAUAAAAUCUUCCUACAGACCACAAUUCCAGAGAAGAUUUCAUCAUCGGAUGCAAAAACAGAUCCAGAACAUAAUAUCAAUUUUAUCUUCAGCUUCUGUUAUUAAUUCUUAUGACGAAAAUGACAUCCGUCAUUCCAAACCUCUGCUAGUUCAGAUGGAUUGCAUUUAUAAUGGAUAUGUUGCGGGUAUUCCAAAUUCUCUUGUGACUCUCAGCGUAUGUUCAGGACUCAGGGGAACAAUGCAGCUGAAAAACAUCUCAUAUGGAAUUGAACCGAUGGAGGCUGUUAUCAGGAUUUAUACACAAGAUUUAUGAAGAAAAAUAUGCUGACACUAAUAUUCUCUUAGAAGAAAAUGACACUUAUACUUGGUUUAAUUCAGAGUAUCAAGUCAGAAAAAGUUCAGAAAAAACUGACUUUAUUAAGUUAUUCCCUCGAUAUAUUGAAAUGCAUAUUGUUGUGGACAAAAAUUUG